rnacentral:rRNA from 1 species
UACGUAGGGUGCAAGCGUUAAUCGGAAUUACUGGGCGUAAAGCGUGCGCAGGCGGGCUUUUAAGCCAGACGUGAAAUCCCCGGGCUUAACCUGGGAAUGGCGUUUGGGACUGGGAGUCUGGAGUACGGCAGAGGAGACUGGAAUUCCUGGUGUAGCAGUGAAAUGCGUAGAUAUCAGGAGGAACACCGGUGGCGAAGGCGGGAUCCUGGGCCAGUACUGACGCUGAGGAGCGAAAGCGUGGGGAGCAAACAGG